UGAGCGGGCUGGAGACGCGCUGGGGAGGAACAACACGAAAGGAAAUGGUUUAAUCCCGCACUUUCUUGUCUGGGAGAUUCACGUUUCCGAUUAUCUCAACGGUUUCGACGAGAAUCGCGUUAAAUGCGACUGUUUUCUACGGAUUUUCCGAAUUUAUCUUUGUACAUUAUUGUGUGCAAGAUGGCUCCCUGGCUUCAGAUGCUGAAGGGCGCCACACCUGGUGUAUGUGUGUGUGUGGAAACAUCAACUUGUCUCACAUCCUGACAGCUCUAUCUCAGCGGGCAAAUUAAAUCUACUCUUUGAGAAGAACCCCAGGUUUCCUGGAAAGCCACACUAACGAUUUGUGGAGUCUCUGAUUUCCUGUGGAAUCUGUCUGUCUGAAGGCCGUUAACCUUUCAAACAACUUCAAUUGCAUUGAUCUUGGGGAUAAUCUAGAUGUUCUUUAUAAUUUUGAGUUGAAACUAAGUUAUCUUAAUUGUUUUCAACUUUCCAGCUCAUUAAUGAAAGUGAAAUUAAUUAUUUGACACUUGCCUUCUCUGAUUUAAUUUCAAAAGCUAAUAUUGUAUGUUACCACUCUUAGUGAUCAUUUGCUUCAAUACAUAUCUGAAUUUUAAUGUACUGCAAGCAACAAACCAUUGGUUGUAACAAAGCAUCACUUCACAAUGUUGUGCAUGGUAAUGUGUGCUUUGAUUAGUAUGAAUGCUAGUUUGAUGAAAUGUAGGAACUGAUGUUAUCCCUGUUGUGAUCUUCUAAAACGGCAACAAGUUGCCCUUUCAAUAAGAUAAUCCACAUGAUAUGGCAUAUUAUUGCUGGUGAUCACUUGAUAGUUGCUUCCUUAAUGCAGAGCUCUGCUUUUGAACUGUGGGUUUGUAUCUUUUUCAAAGUAUCCCUAUUGGAUUCUUGUAAAGGCUUUCAGGAAAACUAGUUGAAUUCAGUGAUUUGAUCAUCCUGCUACUGUUGGCUUAUGCUAGAUAUGCUGAAAUUGCAUGUUUACGUGCCAUGUAAAUUGAGUGGGAGGCCUGCUUGUAUUAUGCAUAUAAUCUGUACAGACUUGUCAAGUAACCUUUCUGCUAGUCCUCUUGAAUGGAGAAGGCUGAAGCUUCUGACAGGUGCAGUAACUUGCUGGCCAAUUCCUGUACUUAUCAGGAGCAGUAAACUAGUGUUUUAUUCCUAGACAAUUUCCUUUUUCAACACUUCAAAUAAGCUGGAUAAUCCAUUAUUAGUAACAAGUGGUUUUUAGACUUUUCUCUAAACUAUGCAUUUUUAUCAAAUGUAAGAGGUUAAUGAUACUGAAGUAUUUCUUUUAAGAAGGCUGAGACAAUGUUUAUGGUAUAUGAAGUAACACAGUGAACUUGGAAUUUGACAAAUCUAUGCUAUGCUUUUCAUGGCAUG